CAUCUGUUCAUUGCUAUUCUAAACACAGGACAGAGCACUGCAUAUUUUUGUGUGAGAGAAUUAAUCAGCGACGUUUGUCCUUAACAAGACUUAAUUAAGUAGCCUUUCGAUGGAUAUAUCACCAUUCUUCAAAGACCACAUGGAGUCGUUAACGGCAAACAAACAAACAGCCUUUUUCAAGGCUUCCAGCCUAUUUACAGGCAUCCCACCAGCCUUUUCCCCUUUCCCCUUUUUCUCGGGACUCCUCCCAACGGAUACAAGGUGAACAUGGCCCUUUCUCGUGCCCGGGAUGAAGUGCACUACCUGAAAAGGAAGGUGAGCGAACUCAGUGCUCACACUGAAACUGGGAGGUACAGUUUGACCAACCUGUUAAAAGGCAAAGAUCUUGCCUAUGAGCAGACAAGAACAGAAAUAAGUUUUCAGACCUCGUCAGGGAGAACAAGGGUUUGUCUCUGAAGCUCCACAGAGACCACCGAACAACUCGUUGUCAAAAAUGCUGAACCCACGGUCCAGCAGCAGGCCAACAACCAACGGUUGAAAGCAGAACACAAACUGCUAAAGAGCAAGACAGAGGCUCUGGCUGAGGUUAUCGGGGAAAAGUUUGUUUCUGAAGCUCUUUGAGUACGGCAAACAACUCUUCGUCAAAAGUGCUGAACUCACAGUCAACAAAGGGACCUGGCAGCAGAAGUUGGAGGAAAAGACAUUCAAGGAACUGUAUUACCAACAACAGUCCAGUAAGUAACAGGGUUACUCUCCACCAAUAUUUCUCUUCAAGAGGAGCUGCACAAGCAGCAGGCCAACAACCACCAGUUGGUAGAAGAAAACAAACUGCUAAAGAUCAAGACAGAGGCUCUGGAUGAGACUAUCAGGGAGAACGAGGGUUUAUCUCUGAAGCUCACCGAGACCACAAAACAACUUUCUGUCAAAAGUGCUGAACUCAGGGUGAACAACGAGACCUGGCAGCAGUUGGAAGCAGAAAACAAACUGCUGAAGACCCAGAGGGAUUCUCUGGCUGCUUUAAAAAAGAGCCAAGAGGAGACCCACCACGAGAUGGUCACUAGCACUGAGUUGUGCCUGAUCUCUAAGAUCCAACAAACGGAGGAUACCAUUCCCAAAGAACAUCAGAUCCUUAUCACCAGGAUCCAAGAAUUAGAGGACGACAAAACAGUCCUUGAAAACAUCUGCCUGUACUUAAAAAAACGGACCGGCAGACGGAGAUGGACAAAAUGAGGCGCAAGAUGCAGGACAAGGAGACAAAGAAAUAGGAGAGAGAAAAGAAGAAAAAGGAGACCAUCCAGGACGUCAACAUCAACGUGCCUGAGACUGGACACAACAGUGGGAAGCAGAACACAAACUGCUGGAGACCCAGAGGGGAGUCUCUAGCUGCUUAAAAAAAGAGCCAAGAGGAUACCCACCACGAGAUGGUCACAAGCAGUGGUUUCACUGAGUUGUGCCUGAUCGCUAAGAUCCAACAAACGGAGGAUACCAUCCCCAAAGAACAUCAGAUCCUUAUCAGCAGGAUCCAAGAAUUAGAGGACAACAAAACAGUCCUUGAAAACAUCUGCCUUUACUUUAAAAAAAAAGAGCAAAUCCCCCCACUGUUAAAAGAAAAACGCAAAUCGCCCUUCCCCUGGCAGCAGUGGGAAGCAGAACACAAACUGCUGGAGACCCAGAGGGGAGUCUCUAGCUGCUUAAAAAAAGAGCCAAGAGGAUACCCACCACGAGAUGGUCACAAGCAGUGGUUUCACUGAGUUGUGCCUGAUCGCUAAGAUCCAACAAACGGAGAAUACCAUCCCCAAAGAACAUCAGAUCCUUAUCACCAGGAUCCAAGAAUUAGAGGACAACAAAACAGUCCUUAAAAACAUCUGCCUGUACUUUAAAAAAAAAAAAAAAAAGACCGGCAGACGGAGAUGGACAAAAUGAGGCAUAAGAUGCAGGACAAGGAGACAAAGAAAUAGGAGAGAGAAGAAAAAGCAGACCAUCCAGGACGUCAACAUCAACGUGCCUGAGACUGGACACCUGUAAGAACACCUUCCUUCCCCUCCCACUCCAUCCUACCUCAUCCAUCUACCCUGAAAAAGAAAAAUUUUGAGAAACACUAAAAAAAGAUCUAAAAAAAAAAAAAAGAGAUCUAAAUAAGAAAGAUCUAAAAAAGAAAGAAAUCCCAGAGGGAUUCUCUGGCUGCUUAUUUUUUUUUUACAACCUAAUCAGAAAAGGCAAGAAGAAAAAGGAGACCAUCCAGGACGUCAACAUCAACGUGCCUGAGACUGGACACCUGUAAGAACACCUUCCUUCACCUCCCACUCCCUCCUACCUCAUCCUUCUCAAAUAACAAAUAAAGGAAAUGUUUACCCCAA
ensembl:lncRNA